rnacentral:misc_RNA from 1 species
AAUAAGUGCAAGGGAAUGAAACUACCACUGAGAUUUCAAUUGUCCAAUUUCACUAUUUUCAAACACUCAAUUUUUUACCAAAGAAAAAAAUACUAAAAAAACUGAGUUAGUUUAAAAAGAAUAAUAAUAAAAACAGAUUCUUGUAAUCAAAAUUCUAUUCAUUUUUCUCUUUCAACUUGUUUUUCUCAGCAACCAAACAAAAGGGUAACCAAAAUGAAGGAGCUCAUAGUGGUAGGUAAAGCAA